AUUGAACGCUGGCGGCGUGCUUAACACAUGCAAGUCGAUCGGUAACAGGUGUAGCAAUACAUGCUGACGAGAGGCGGACGGGUGAGUAAUGCUUGGGAAUCUGCCUAUUAGUGGGGGACGAACCCGGGAAACGUCGGGCUAAUACCGCAUACGCUCUACGGAGGAAAGCCGGGGACCGCAAGGCCUGGCGCUAAUAGAUGAGCCCAAGUCGGAUUAGCUAGUUGGUAGGGUAACGGCCUACCAAGGCGACAAUCCGUAGCUGGUCUGAGAGGACGACCAGCCACACCGGAACUGAGACACGGUCCGGACUCCUACGGGAGGCAGCAGUGGGGAAUAUUGGACAAUGGGGGCAACCCUGAUCCAGCGACGCCGCGUGGGUGAAGAAGGCCUGCGGGUUGUAAAGCCCUUUCGGUGGGGAAGAAAAGUACUCGACCUAAUACGUCGGGGUCUUGACGUAACCCAUAGAAGAAGCACCGGCUAACUCUGUGCCAGCCGCCGCCGUAAC
rnacentral:rRNA from 1 species